AAUUCUCAAACUUUCUAGCUUUUUCAAAGUUAGCUAGGUUUGGAUUUUGGAGGUUGCUGGAUCUCUGGGAAUCAGCUCCUCUUAAAUAUAUUAGCAGUCCUUACUGGCCGUCAUUAGUAUGAUAAUUAUCUAUACUAUUGAUGAUCAGUUUCCUAAUGGAGAGGUGCUGCUUUCUAAUCGUCUUUGAGACAACAUGAUAA
rnacentral:misc_RNA from 1 species